CUAGAUGGCCUUUAAAUGUCCCUUCCAAGCCAAGCCAUUCUGUGCUGCUGUGCACCAGCAGAGCAGUGCUGGAAUAAUGCUGGGGUGAUGAUGCUGGCACCUGUGUUUUGGUAGUUGUGCCAUUUAGCUGUUGGCCAAGAGAGGAUUGAUGGGCUGCACAGUGAAGUCUGCAGAGAACAGUGUGCUCAAGGAGAAACAGGAGAGGAACAGGGCUUCCAGCUCAGAUAAAUGCAUUUUGCUGCCCAUUUCUCGUUAAGAAAUAAAGCAAUGUUCUGAAGAUCCCUUCAGUGUGGGUGCACUAUUGGCUGUAUCAGUGCUUGUGUUCUGUAAAACAGGUAUCCAUCAGGACAGUGGCUGUGAAGCUUGGAACAAUAUGCAGCCGGCACCACAAGACAUGCUCAGAAUAUCUGGGAGAGCAUGAGAAGAGUUUUCUACCAGGGAACACAUGGUUUGAUUAAGUUAAUGGCCAUUGUGGCUGGUGGAGCACUUUUCCUGCUGAUGUGCUAUGCUGGAAUCUGGUAUUGCUGGAAGAGAAAACAGAGCACCUCUGCACCUUCAGAACAGCAGCCAAAGACUUUAAUCGCUGAGAAGCUGACCUCUCAUCCCCACUCUUCACCUCUGUCU